UCUUGCUCCACCCCACAACUUGCAUCAAAAAGAUACGACAGAGAGGGGGACUAUGGUAAAAAUCAAUUUGUUUCACAGAGAUAUUGCGAAGGACUUCUUCUUAUAUUAUCGACCUAGCAAAUAUUCACUGCUGAUCAAAAUAAUAAGGGCAGGAUAUAGGAACACAAAGAAAACAAUGGUUCCAGACAAGGACAAGCAUUUUAUUAUGUGUGUGGAGACCAGCACCUGUUAAACAAUUCUUUGCCUCAAGAGUUACUGUUCACAACUAUGACCUCCACCUGGAAGUAUGUAACAUGUGAUGUGACCAUGAUUGUCACUUGCCCACCAACAUCCCAACAGUUUGGUCAAAAUGUUUGUCCUCUCUAACAAGGCAGUGUUAAACAGGUCAAGAGAUGAUGUUUGCAGAGUUAGUAAAAGCCAACAGUUCUUAUACACUAUGAUGAUGAACCAAACAUAUUUUCCAUCAUCUAUGCAGUUUUAUUAUGCUCAACAUAUUCCAUAAAUAAUUUUUGAACAACUGUUUUUAAUUAAGAAUCAAUAAACUGAUGAACAAUGUUGCCUACAAAUAUGAUGCUAAUUUAUAAGGGGGCAGAGUUAAAGUAGCUAAGUCUCUAACUCAAUAUCAUCCAAAGUAUUCGACAUUGAAAACACGAAUUAUUUGUCAAUUUAAAUCAACAUUGAUGUUGUGAUCUUACAGGGAAAAGAUGGGCUUCUGAUAUCCAAUAUUUAAGACAAACAUUUUACCAUUGAUACACGAAUCUUAACCAUAAUGUAUUUCAGUGCCAUUUGUAACAAGGGAAUCAAAGAAUGAGGCUAGACAUAUUUCAUGAUCAUGUCAAACGGUGAAGUCAUAUUCUUAUCUGGAGAGCAUUUGCAAUAAAUACUAUCGGUGUAGACUUGAAUAACCAGACGCUAGAGAUUGCCAUUCAAUUUGAAAUUAAGAGUAAAAAUGGAAACAAUUAAAUGUAAAUCAGUUUAUAUACAUUCAUAUUACAUUAUUAUAUGCGUCGCGACCCAUUUGUGUCAAUUUCAAGGUCCCAAAUAUUAGCGACUUAGCUCCUUUAAGACUAACUUUGGGUCUUGGACUUUUGGCUAUAAUCAAUACCAUUUAUUGCUAACCAAAUCUGUUGAUUCCAGGUAUAACAUUUUUACGACCACACAGAUCUACCAUAGAACAUACAAUCAUAAUGUUAAGUUGGUUUUCCCCAGAGUUCACUGA